GGGAUUGUGGCUCAAUGGUAGAGCUCUCAUCUAGCAUGUGUGAGGCCCUGGGUUUGAUCCUCAGCACCA
rnacentral:tRNA from 1 species